UUUCCACAUUGAGCUCUCUCUUCCUUUCGCCAACCCAACGUUUUUCUACACAAUUCGAUUAUAAUUUAUAACUAUAUAAAAACUAUAGAAAUUUCGCUAUAAAAUAGUUUACAAGCAGACACAGUCCGAGAAUCAUACAUCUUUUGCUCCACCGAUUCAAACUCAGUUUCAGGGUUUUGAAAAUUGAAGAAAACUAUGGAAUCAUCAGCACAGACAGAGUUUGAUUAUUUGUUUAAGCUGCUGAUGGUAGGCGAUUCUGGAGUUGGGAAAAGUAGCCUUUUGCUCAGUUUCACUACAAACACUUUCGAAGAUCUCUCUCCUACCAUUG